GCCCAAGUGGUGAAAUUGGUAGACGCGCUAGACUCAAAAUCUAGUAAGGGCAACCUUGUGCCGGUUCGAGUCCGGCCUUGGGCACCA
rnacentral:tRNA from 1 species